UACGUAGGGGCCGAGCGUUGUCCGGAGUUAUUGGGCGUAAAGCGCGCGCAGGCGGCCUCGCGCGCCCGACGUGAAAGCCCCCGGCUUAACCGGGGAGGGUCGUUGGGGACGGCGGGGCUUGAGGGCGGGAGAGGGCGGUGGAAUUCCCGGUGUAGUGGUGAAAUGCGUAGAUAUCGGGAGGAACACCAGUGGCGAAGGCGGCUAUCUGGGCUGAACUGACGCUGAGGCGCGAAGGCUAGGGGAGCAAACAGG
rnacentral:rRNA from 1 species